AUCUAAAUUUUACACACAUAUAUGAGAUAUAUGUUUAUAUAUUAAAUCUGAAAAUUGGUUUUAUGAUUUAAAACUUAUCUUUCAUGUAAAAACUUUAGAUCUAAAAUUUAGUUUUGAAAUCUAAAAUUUAUAUUUGUGCAUGAAGAUUUUGGUUAUGAAAAAAAUUAAAAGUUAGGUGUUAGCCAAUUUCGCAAGUGCACGAAAUCGCUCAAGUAAUAUAAUGAUAAAUA
rnacentral:lncRNA from 1 species